rnacentral:rRNA from 1 species
GACGAACGCUGGCGGCGUGCCUAACACAUGCAAGUCGAGCGGAAAGGCCCCUUCGGGGGUACUCGAGCGGCGAACGGGUGAGUAACACGUGGGUAAUCUACCCCUGACAUCGGGAUACUCCGGGGAAACCCGGCCCAAUACCGAAUAAGGUGCGGAGACGUCGGUCGCCGUACCAAAGGUAGCUUCGGCCUCCGGUCAGGGAUGAGCCCGCGGCCCAUUGGCUUGUUGGUGAGGUAACGGCUCACCAAGGCUACGAUGGGUAGCUGGUCUGAGAGGACGAUCAGCCACACUGGGACUGAGAGACGGCCCAGACUCCUACGGGAGGCAGCAGUGGGGAAUCUUGCGCAAUGGGCGAAAGCCUGACGCAGCAACGCCGCGUGCGGGAAGAAGGCCUUCGGGUCGUAAACCGCUUUCAGGGGGGACGAAGCUUCCGAGGUUAAUAGCCUACGGGGUGACGGUACCUCCAGAAGAAGGACCGGCUAACUACGUGCCAGCAGCCGCCAGUAACAC